rnacentral:lncRNA from 1 species
ACAAGAUCAAAUUACUAGUUGAUGCCAUCACACAAGUGAUACAAAGUAAUCACACAAAGCAACAAAAAAAAAAAAAGCGUUGGUUCAAUGGGGCAGCCCAGCUAUCCAUGAUGGAUCCGGAUGGCACCGACCCGUUAUCCUUCCACUGCCAAGAGCGGGAGGUAAUCGUUGCUCUGUGAAACCAGCCUUACGCGGUUCCAUCCGCUCUAGAAAUCGUGUAGCCUAGAGCCUUCGCUCAAGCCACACAACUCAACUCCUAGCUUGGAAUGGGCAGGCCGGAAUAGAGCCACUCCAGACCCGAACAGCCAACGCUGAACCAAUGUUCCAACACCUCAAUGCCCCCACUUGGGUUACAAGCUUGCGUUACCAAGCUCGACGAUUAUUCAUCCUUGUGCUGGUAUUAUGAAGAACAGUUUUGCACUUCACUUGCCCGAUGUGGGACUGUUUAACUAGCUUAAAUUUAUGUAUGUACUUUAGAAAAAUUUAAUUAUUAUUAUCAAAGAGAGGGAUGAUUCAAAACUAUUAUAAUAAUUUAAUCGAUGAAGAGUUUUGAAAUGUUAAAUAAGCAAUUGGAUCACCAUGUUUUUGAAAUGUUAGACAGAUUUCUAGCUGCUCGACAAAUACUUCUUUGGUCUUGAAUAUUUUGUUGUAGGCAAUGGAGCGACGGUACGCGUAUGACAGGAUAGGUGGCUUCCGAGGCCGAAUACAUUCAAAGUGUUAUCAGUGGCACCAGUUUCGCAGAAACAUAUGAGGGUGCAGGACCUACUUGAUCCGGUAAGCAAGUCUUUGAGCCUCGAAGUUUUAUCUGCGUUAUUUUUGGAGGAAGAGGUGAAUCUUAUACGCACUAUGCCUACUAGUAUUUGUAUGCCGGCGGAUUGUUUCAUGAGCGGGGAUUCAGAACAUUGAAAGUUCCAACAUUUCAAUCAAUAAUUCCACUCGUUGGUGAUCAAAUUACUGAUUACCUAACAAAUGAACAAAAAAAGCAUUGGUUCAAUUUAGGCAGCCCAGCUAUCCAUGAUGGAACUGGAUGGCACCGACCUGUUAUCCUUCCACUACUAAGAGCAGGAGGUUGUCACGGUUCCCUCUGCUCUAGAAAUUGUAUAGCCCAGAGCCUUUGCUCAG